rnacentral:rRNA from 1 species
GACGAACGCAGGCGGCGUGCUUAACACAUGCAAGCCGAACGGUGAAGGGGCCUGCUUUUGUGGGUCCUGGAUGAGUGGCGAACGGGUGAGUAACACGUGAGUAACCUGCCCCCUUCUUCUGGAUAACCGCAUGAAAGUGUGGCUAAUACGGGAUAUUCUGGGUCUGUCGCAUGGUGGGCCUGGGAAAGAUUGCGCCUUUUUUGGUGUUUUUGGUGGGGGAUGGGCUCGCGGCCUAUCAGCUUGUUGGUGGGGUGAUGGCCUACCAAGGCGGUGACGGGUAGCCGGCCUGAGAGGGUGGACGGUCACACUGGGACUGAGACACGGCCCAGACUCCUACGGGAGGCAGCAGUGGGGAAUAUUGCACAAUGGGCGCAAGCCCUGAUGCAGCGACGCCGCGUGAAGGGAAUGGAAGGCCC